rnacentral:other from 1 species
ACUAACCCGACAGCGAGUGAUUUGUGAACCAAUAAUCACACUUAGGGGAGCGUUCUGUAGCCGGCGUUGUGCAAGCCCAUUAUAAAGUGGGAAGCCUGAACUGACUCAUCUGCCCCCCACUUGAACCCCAGGGUUCAAAAUCAUAGCGGUCGGGCUCUCU